GAUGAACGCUGGCGGCGUGCCUAAUACAUGCAAGUCGAGCGAACGGACGAGAAGCUUGCUUCUCUGAUGUUAGCGGCGGACGGGUGAGUAACACGUGGAUAACCUACCUAUAAGACUGGGAUAACUUCGGGAAACCGGAGCUAAUACCGGAUAAUAUUUUGAACCGCAUGGUUCAAAAGUGAAAGACGGUCUUGCUGUCACUUAUAGAUGGAUCCGCGCUGCAUUAGCUAGUUGGUAAGGUAACGGCUUACCAAGGCAACGAUGCAUAGCCGACCUGAGAGGGUGAUCGGCCACACUGGAACUGAGACACGGUCCAGACUCCUACGGGAGGCAGCAGUAGGGAAUCUUCCGCAAUGGGCGAAAGCCUGACGGAGCAACGCCGCGUGAGUGAUGAAGGUCUUCGGAUCGUAAAACUCUGUUAUUAGGGAAGAACAUAUGUGUAAGUAACUGUGCACAUCUUGACGGUACCUAAUCAGAAAGCCACGGCUAACUACGUGCCAGCAGCCGCGGUAAUACGUAGGUGGCAAGCGUUAUCCGGAAUUAUUGGGCGUAAAGCGCGCGUAGGCGGUUUUUUAAGUCUGAUGUGAAAGCCCACGGCUCAACCGUGGAGGGUCAUUGGAAACUGGAAAACUUGAGUGCAGAAGAGGAAAGUGGAAUUCCAUGUGUAGCGGUGAAAUGCGCAGAGAUAUGGAGGAACACCAGUGGCGAAGGCGACUUUCUGGUCUGUAACUGACGCUGAUGUGCGAAAGCGUGGGGAUCAAACAGGAUUAGAUACCCUGGUAGUCCACGCCGUAAACGAUGAGUGCUAAGUGUUAGGGGGUUUCCGCCCCUUAGUGCUGCAGCUAACGCAUUAAGCACUCCGCCUGGGGAGUACGACCGCAAGGUUGAAACUCAAAGGAAUUGACGGGGACCCGCACAAGCGGUGGAGCAUGUGGUUUAAUUCGAAGCAACGCGAAGAACCUUACCAAAUCUUGACAUCCUUUGACAACUCUAGAGAUAGAGCUUUCCCCUUCGGGGGACAAAGUGAUAGGUGGUGCAUGGUUGUCGUCAGCUCGUGUCGUGAGAUGUUGGGUUAAGUCCCGCAACGAGCGCAACCCUUAAGCUUAGUUGCCAUCAUUAAGUUGGGCACUCUAAGUUGACUGCCGGUGACAAACCGGAGGAAGGUGGGGAUGACGUCAAAUCAUCAUGCCCCUUAUGAUUUGGGCUACACACGUGCUACAAUGGACAAUACAAAGGGCAGCGAAACCGCGAGGUCAAGCAAAUCCCAUAAAGUUGUUCUCAGUUCGGAUUGUAGUCUGCAACUCGACUACAUGAAGCUGGAAUCGCUAGUAAUCGUAGAUCAGCAUGCUACGGUGAAUACGUUCCCGGGUCU
rnacentral:rRNA from 1 species